rnacentral:miRNA from 1 species
UGUACGUUUUCAUCCUCGUCCCCAGAGCCACGCUCGUUGCUCUCGCUCAGUGGAGCAACGAGCGUGGCCCUGGGGACGAGGAUGGUACGUU